rnacentral:lncRNA from 1 species
GUUUCAUUCACGUCAUUCAAGGCAAAGACCGUAGAAUCCAACAUCAAGAUUUUCUCUGUCUUCUUGAACAAGACCAAGAAGAAGAUCAGUUGCAUCAUCAUUAGCGGCAAAAGAUACUUAAAAGAAGAUCUACACUAUAUGCUUAGGUAUCAAAGAUCAAAGUGUUUUAUCAAUCACUAUUGCUUUCCAAGACCAAUCUCACUAGAUCUGGGGGUGUUCAAUGUGGUGGUGGAGGAGAUGCACCUCCAACUUCGAUCAAAGGCAAUUCCCAAUUAGAUGUUGGUUUUUUUUCGCUCUUUUCUUAUUUUCUUCGUUUGUGUUUUGGGGAGUUUGAAACCUCUCCUCAACUCAAAAAAUCUGAAAUUUAUUUCUAUGUACUUAAAUUCUUUUUUUUUUUUUGGUUUUGGUGAAAAAGACAAUUAGUGGCUGAUUUCUGCAAAAUUGUUUAAUGUGAUUAUUCUUUGUAAAUCAUGAUGAUAAAUUUGGGAUGUUGAUGUUAUACACUUGUCACCGUAGAUCAUGUCACUACUGCAGAUGGGGUCAUUGAUGGUGACAGAGAUUAUUUUUAGAAUUUGUAAUUUUAAAAAAUAAAUAUAAAAAUAUUGAAUCAUUGACCCAGCCAGUUAAACCGAUUGAACCGAAAAAAAUCGGAACCAGUAACUCAAUCGAGUCGUUCACCGGUCCGAAUUUUAAAACAUUGUCGUUCCUACCACUCUUCCGAUUAAAAUUGUACUCUGCAAGGAAGUUGAGGUGGUAAGGCAUGCAAGAUGCAAUGUUAUGCUUCCUAUUAAACCAUACAGUAAGGCAUGUCUCCUGUGAUACCUUAAUUGAUUAGCUAAUAUUAAAUGAGAAAACACAUAUUCUUAUGAUGUGUGGUGGAACGAUUAGUGUACCAAAUUUUGGCAUCCUAAAUCCAAUUUCCUAAUUUAUGGUCAAAUGUCUUGCUUUUCAACUAUUCAAAAAUCUCGUAGAAUUUCAUUCCAAGCAUGCGAGGAACAAAGGUCCAAGCUUCCAAGUUUUAUUGCCAUUUCCCACCUAGAGCAAAUUAUUUCCAUCACUUACACGACAUAAGUUUGACAAAUCAUAAGGUCUUGUACGGUCACUCGUGCUUCCGAAUGCGGCCGAUCAAGUCACAAUCGCACGCCUGCAUAACCAAGGGAGUAAUUGAAAAUUAACAACUUCUGGCCAAGCACCAACCAGAAUUUUGGCAUGCUACAAAUUUCACCUAGGUAAAAUAGCUCUUAAUCGAUGUAGGUUAGGAAAUCAAUACCCGAUCUUCACAUCAUUAUGUGAUGAAUUAUUGAAGACUUGGCAAUUAUAAUAAUUUAGAAGAAAAAAUACAAAAAAUGCAUUAUACAUUAUAGAAGUAUUCUUCUUAGCAUCAUCAUCAACACAAGAAAGACAAGUGAACAUGUCACAAUACUCAUUUUAUAAUGCAGUUCUGAAAUUCACAUAUUUUGAAUACUGUUUCAAAAAGAAGGAAAAAGAAUAAAGCAAGAUUCUCCCUAUCCACGUUUCAAUACAAUGUUGGCACCUGACUUUGCAAAUAUUUACUAAGUGUGCCUUUGUAUUAGCCGCCUAGCAUCUAAACCUCUAUGGGUACACUUUAACAUAAACCCCAGAGAUGAGUACAAAAUUGAUCAACUAGCACUGUCUUCAUAGAGAUGUAUUGCAACACAAUUGACAUAUCUCCCUGUGAUAUCUACUGGUCGAAGAAUCUGCUUCAGCCUCUUCACAUGGAGCGAGGAGAUGUCAAAAUUUUAGCUGCAAUAUCCACCCUCCAACAUGAAUCAAGCUGCACUUGCAAUAGUCUGAUUUGCAUUUGUGGAAAUGCAUUUGCUAGAUGAAUGAAGAGACCUAAAGGAUGAUUGUUGCUCAUUGCUCAAGGAAGAAAACCACUUUCUUACAGCGUCCAUUGCAACUGGUUGAUUACCAGUAGCAAAACUCUCAAAAUUCGCUUCAACAACUUCUUCAAAUGACUUAGCGAUUAGAUCAAGUAAGGCAAAUGCAGAAGCAAACUGGAUCAGAAGACCAAAGUCCUUAAAUGUGGUGCGGCUGAGAAAAGCAGACAACCAUUGCCUGAUGCUCUCAACUCCAGAAUUCUCAUAUCCAUUGGCAUCGACUCCAAUCCUGAGUGCAUCAUAGUACAAAUAAAUUAUUUGAUUUAAUGGAUUAAACCAAGAAACUACCAAGAAGUGCAUGUGAAUUCAAGGAAAAGAAACCCACAAUAAUGUGACAGAAACGGUCUUAGUGUUGGCAACGACUAGGCAAGAUAUGAAUUCCAGUGUACCACUAAAAACAAUGAGCUAUAACUACGCUGACUUAUUGCCCUGAAGAUGAAAUGCAGCACAUGCAUAUUCUCUACCAGUUUCUAACGCAUUUUAAGCAUCUUCAGCUGAUAAGGCAUUACCUUGCAACAAUCAGGAAAUCUCACAAAUACUGGAGCACACAAUACAACAUUACCACCAUGGAGACCGAGCCAAUUAAAAAAUAUUUUAAAGUUCACUUAAAUAUGUACUCUUAAGCCGCAUAAGUCAAUGACAGCAACUGUUUUUCACCUUCAAAUUUACACACUACCUCUUCUUCACUAUUGAAGGGAGACUCAAAAUUUGUUGGAAUACAACUUCAAAUGACUCGAGAUGAUAUUUACAACACAAUAAAUACAAAACCGACUGAACAUAAAAGGUGAUGAGAACACAAUAAGCUCUCAAUUGGCAAAUCAUCAAGACAUCAACAAAUCCAAACUCCGGAAGAUCAACAAAUUAUGCUAGUUUCAGGAGACUGCUGUUGCUUAAUUCCCUCCUUUUGUAAAUUUGAAUUAACAACUUGCUAUAUUACUAAAGUUCAUACAACAGUAAGCAUUUUUACAGCAAUAUGAUGUACAUUUGCAUGUUGAUGGCUUACCUCCCAAGUUGACCCAGAAGAGUUAUAAUGGCAGGAAAAAACUGCUCUUGGACACAGUCCAGCAUCCGAAAAAGCGGCAAGACAAUAUUGCCAAAUGUCCAGUCCCAGCUCUGUAUACGAUGGAUAAAUGGGUAAGAUUGAGAUAAAACUUCUUUAGUGGAGGGGAAAAUUUUGAGACAGAAUUAACAUCAAACAAUGUGUUUGGUUACUUAGGAAGAGAAAACAGGCAUCAACUUGUUAAAAAUAAAAAUAUAAAAAAGGAAAUGAACAAAUGAAAGAUUUACAAACUUAGAGAUUCACCAAAUCAUUAUAAGAUAACAACAGGUUUAAAACUCAGUAAUGGACGGGUUUAGAAAUUCUCAUAUACUUCUACUCAUUUGGUAGAACAUUCCUAACUGCUUAAACCAACUACAUUUUGGUUUAAAAGAAAAAGAAACACUUAAGAUAUACAAAAUUAUAACUGCUUUUCAUAUCUGCAGACUUUCCUCACCUACAUGCCUCUUUAAAUGUGAUACAUUAUAGGAUAAUAAAUGAGCGUGUGAAGUUAACAACAUCCUCAAUGGACACCAUCAAACAAAUAAAUAGACACUAGACAUGAACCAAUUAAUUCCAAAUCAACCUCAUAAUUUAUCCAAAAUGUAACAAAUAAUUCAUUACAACAACUUAACAUUAUUUCCCUAAAUUGACACCAAACAUGAACCAAAUUAAUUCCAAAUCAACCUCAUAAUUUAUCCAAAAAAAAGUCACAAAUAAUUGAUUACAAUAACUUAACAUGAUUUCCCUAAAUAUCCAUACAGUUUAAUAUCCAGAGUUAAGAACAUUCAAACUACUCCAGAUGACAUAAGAAAAUUACCUCUCUCUCCCAACUAAUCAACCUUUCUUUGUUGUUUAUGAUGUUAUAGAUUUCUCCAGUUAAACCCAAAAUAAACAAAAUCACAAAGCUACACAACUAUCAGGGUGUUGGUCCAAACUAACUCACAAGAAGAAAGGCAGCCAAAAUUGGCAGUCUUUUCAGUUCAUUCAAUUCGACGAUACCAGCAUAAGUAGACUUAUUAAGUGCUCCACAUUUCCAGCUCAAUCAUGAGUUCCCUGAUGAGGGUACUCAUAAUUGACAAGUGCACAAAUUUCAUUCCUGGACUACCAACUAAAAACAGGUUCAUCUUCAUAGAAUGGCUAAAGCUAUUGAGAAGCACAGAUACUUCUAGUAUAAAUUGGCAGAUCAUUUUUUGAGAUGACUUGAGAAGAGAUCCAUAAGCAAUGAUGCAAACACCUAACACUCCAUGGACGAGGAAACACUAAAAGCAAUACUCCCUUGUUCCACAUACAGAAACUUAGGCAGCAUACAAAAUUGUAGCAUGCAAAAAUUGAACUAAAAUUAUUUGCAACAACAAUUACAUUCUGAAAGCAAAUCCAGAUUUGGAACAUGUCAGAGUUUUAAAAACAAGUUCACUGGAGAAAAGAAUUAGAAUCUUGUAAGAGCGUGUCUUGAGGGUAUUUUGACAAAAAUAGCUGAUUGGAAGCAGUUGUAGCUCAAAGUUUACGAGUAACAAGCAUGCUGUGUUUCUCAUAGCUUGCAGCAAGGGAAAAUAUUGGGUCGGUUACUUUUAAUUGGCAUUACAACUUGGAAGCACAUAAUAAUAUGGCAGGGUAACGCUUCAUAAAAAUUUAAGUUCUCUACAUGGACAGUUAGUCCGUCCUAAAUUGAGCCUCAACAUGUAUGCCCUAUAUUGAGAAAUAUCCACUGGGCAGCAAUGUUGCUUCACAUCAUCCCAUACACAAGGCAGCCAAUUUGGAAAAAGAAUUAGCAUUAAAUUUAAUGAGCAUCCUUAACAAUCCAAAUCUAAACAAUCAUCGUAACAAGAUGGUUAAAAUCCUUAAAAGGUUAAAUUUUUUUUAAUUAACAAUGAAACAAAGAAGUUACUCGAGGUAAUCGGAUCAAAACCACUAAAGCAGGUACUAGGAUGGCAAAACUGCAGGCAAGCCAAACUCCAAAAAAACUAAUCCACGCAUAUCUAUUCUUAAAAAUUCAUCAUUUUAACUUCCACGCAAAAUCAUUUUUUUAAUCCUAUGGACAGGACAAUCUAUCAAUAGUUUCUGCCAGAAGUAACUAACAAAUUACAGAGGAACUUCGAGAUGACCCUCUGCGAAUAUGCUCCUGCCACAGGUAAAAUGACUUGUACCACAUCUGAAGAAGUUCCUAAGAAGUUUGCAAAGUGUAUUCAACCAGAUUCUAAGAAGAAUAUGCAAAAACAACUUCUUAACCAUAUUAGCUAUCAAGCAACAAAGACAUCAAAUUUUCCGCGCAAGUGAAGCUUGUUAAAAUUCAGAGAUGUAGAACCUAGUAAUUCCUGAAGAAUUUUGAAUAUAAGAUUUACAGAUAAGGAAGGAAGAUUAUAUGACAAAAGUUAUCAGCUAAAUGAUAAAUGUUUAAUAGUCAAAAAGCAUUGGAGCAACGUACCACAGAAACUGCCACAAGUUCUAGCAAUGAAAGCGUAUCAAUGAAGUUGAUCAAGUUUUCAUUAGGAACAAAAUUCGAUGGAAUAGCCUCUCCAUGGCAUUGAACAUCCAUCUUUUUCAUUUCCAAUAUCACUGAUUGACAACUUGAUGAAUUCAAUGCUUCCAUUUGUUCCUUAAGUUUUCCAAGGAGAAUGGAUACAAUAAAAUCAACUGAAACCACACCAUCCUUAAAUGGACAUGAACUACAUGCUGAAAUCUUCAUUGAUGUCCCAGCAACAGAAGGCAAGCAGGAAAUGCAACCGCCUGACAAAUCUUGCCUCUCAAGGAACACCACAAAACAUUUCAGGACAGACAUUUUUAAACUGAAGCCUUCUAGGGUAAAAUAUUUUGAACUGCAGAGAUAGGCAAAGACAUGGAGAAGCCUUAGCAGCAACAGAGAAUUAAUCUUCCUCAUGCUAAGUAUGUUGCAAGAGACCUCACAAAUGAAACCAAUUUCAUCAACUGCUGCAAAUAUCGAAGCUAAUAAUAAUCCGCCAGCAAACAGCAAGUCAGUGGAAGCUGGUUGGAUGGACCAGAAAAUGCAAUUAUCGUUAAGGACAACCUUGGCUCUUGAAUCAUGUUGAAGCAACACUCCAUGGGAUACAUCAUCAUACACCAAGAUUUGCCUAUUUAUAAGGAAAUCCUCAAUAAGAGACACUAGUUCAUGCAAAUCACAUGAUUCCAGAAACAUUUUCCUAGUAUCGGCAUCAUUCAGCACUGCAAAUACAGACAAUUUGAGAAGUAGGAUCCAAUGAAGCAUUAUAAGAAAAAAGGACAUCCAAAGAAGGGAUUACACACCUGCUCGCAUUUGUUGAGCAAAAGAAUCUAUAAAGCCAAGAGAAUUGCACACUAAAUCGCCAUGGUCACCAUUUGCAAUCUCAGAUGUGUAAUGCAAUAACAGCGAAAAGAACCCUGAGACCCGUUCCCUGGGAAAUAGCAAAGAGACGAAAAGCAUGUAAGCUUACAAUUCAAAUGAAGCAUAAUUACAGCCACCAGAUCAAUUCCAAGAAAAUACAUGCAAAUUCCACAAUAUGAAGAAGAACAGAAUAAUGAAGAUUCAUCACACCCUUUUCAAGAGAAAAUUGAUUAUAAAAUAUUGAAAAGGCAAGCUUCUAGCGAACCUUUCCACCAACAAGCCAUUUACAUACCAACUACUGCCACCCUUACCUGCCCUGCAACCCUAAUAUUUCAGUAGUAUGAAUUACCUUGUCCACAGUUCCCAUUUUCUGAGACAAAAAUUAUUAUAUUUUGUAGCAGAAGAAACUUCAAAAUGCAAUUGAGUAUGACUUCACAUGUAACAACAUUUAAUACACCAGGAAUACCAAUCAACAUCUUUAUUAUAACAUCUACACCAAUGAAAUGCAAUCGAAUAUGACUUUACAUAUAAUAACAUCUAUAUACCAAUGAUUAUCUAUACUAAAUGGAUAGUAGAGGGUUGGGUGUUAACUGUUUUUUGUCAUUUUCUGUAUUUCCUCAUUUACCCUUCACUAAAAAGCUAAAGAGUACCACAUCUUCCUCAAAAAAAAGAACAAAAAUAUACACUCGCAUUUAUUGGUGAAAAGAAACCUCCAAUGACUGCCUGUAACUUCUUUUUCUUUUAAGGAAAGGAAAACAAAAUACUCCCAUUUACAAAACCUAAGUAAACCUUUAAUAUUUGCUAAUUAUUUUUUUCUUAUUACUUUUUCUUCUAAUUUUCACACACAUAGGGUGUGCCUGCCCCAUUAGUGAAGACUAUGAUUUUUAUCUCCUAUCCAGUUAUCUCACUCUAUGCUACUUCCCAAGACAUCCCUGCUGAAAUAGGUGAAGCACAUCCCAUGCAGUUGCAUUCACAGCCAUAUUAACUUCUGCAGUAAGAGUACUACACUUCAAGAGUUACAAACUGUGUAUAGACAAUAUUUAGUAAACAUAAGACUUCUAAACAAGUUGAAUUUAAUAAGAUCCUACCACACCACCAGGAGUCUAGAAAAUACACUUACUGAGUUGAAAGAUUGUCGGCCUUCUGUAAAGAAAGCAGAAUAUUCUGCAUCCAUAACUUUAACGAAGAGUUACUCGACAACUUUGACAUACAAUCAGUGAUAAAACUGAAUAUCGUAGAAAUGGAGCUGCUGUCAUUAUUACUUGAGGAAACAGCACAGUAUACUGGAUACCCAUUGAAUGCAGCACUCCUGCUUUCACAGGGCAUUUUUAACUCAACAUUUUUCUGAGCAGUUGAUGCCAUGAUCAAGUUAUUGAUCUGACUGGAAGAAGAACUGCUCACGCAUAUAACAUCUGAGUCGUAACUCCCAUUGUUACCCAAGUUUUCAGAGCUUCCUUUAGUAGCCAUCCCAAGUGACAAAAUCUUUGAAGCCUCAAUGUCCUUCAAAUUCCUGUUAUUGGAAUCAAUCUCCAAAUUAACCACAUCAAAAUUGCAAGAUGGUACAACAUUCUGCUCUGCAUUUGAAAAUACUUCACAUAAACUCUCAUCCGGUAGAGAUCUAGAAGUACAAAUUUCAGUUUCAAAAGUCUCAUUAAAUGGAAACUCAAUAUUGCAUAGGACAGGAGAAAGGGGAGAAAUGGGCUUUCUAAUUGCUUUGCAGAAUCGGUUUUCAUCAAUAGGAUUGUCCAAUUGAACAAGUCCCAUGUAAUCAUGACCAAACACUUCUUCAGCGUUCGUUGGCUCAUGCAGCUUGCUUCCAAAAUGAUUAGUUAUGCCGUCCUUCAAAGUCGGGGCAGUUUGAAGUACAUCGCAUACAGCUGGUGAAGCAUUUUCGCAAACAUCAGAAUCUUCAGCACUGGUUUUCAGGACACAAGGGUCACACAAAUGAGGUACUGCUACACCUUGUCCAUUGGAUACUUUUUUCUUCUUAUCAGGUCUAACCAACUUGCUAUACAUAUUAUCUUGUACCAAAACUCUUUCUCCGAAAGAUUUAGGGCAUUCACCAUCCAACAUGCCAUGAAGCACAGAUAAUUUCUCUAAGACCUGCUGAUGCCACUUUUGACCUGCUGAAUAUAAAUCUUCAAUGGAUUCAACUGCAUCAGAAACCCUUUUCCUUUUCCUUUUCUUGUAGCUCCCACUCUCAAUAGCACCAGAUUUAAUAGGACUUCCUACACUAUUUUCGGCCCCCACUGCAAGUUUUUUGUCAUAUCUUUUUCUUGUAUCGCUUGAUAACCUGGAAGCGGUUGGUCCUAUAGUUUGUCCAUGUGCCAAAUUAGCUGAUGUAGUGACAGAAAAUGUACCUCUUUCCUGUGAGCCGACCAAUGGUCUAUCAGAAAAAGAUGCCGAACUGGAAUUUAUGGCAGAACUCUGUAACAUUUUUCUGUUGGAACCUCUAAGCAGAAGCUCCAAAUUAGAAUCAAUACCUGUAGUGGGACUUAAGUACAUCUCUCCAGACACAGGAGGCAACGACACAUUUAAUCUUUUGUUUCGCUUCAGUGGAGUAGAUCCACCCGUAGCAAUGCUGGUUAUACAACUUGGUUUUACGUGCUCAUUCUGAGUGUGAAGUACCAACUGCGAUGGUUUGAGGUGAAGAUGCUCUUGAUCCAAGUCUAGGCCCCCUUCCUGCAACAAGGAUAUAAUCUUUAGCAAAUAGAGCCAGGCUACAUAAAAUUUUGGAUGGCCAUAGAUCCAGAAAUGAAAGAAAUACUAGACAUAUAUAAACACGAAACAUCAAGCUAAUGGGCACAAUAACUUCAAAUUAUUCAAUCCUUAAAAAAAUUCUAGUAUAGAAUAAGUCUAGAUGGCUAGAAAAAAAAAAAUCUACCCAAUUCAUCAAUUACUUUUCCUAGUAGGUUCUGUAUUUCUUUCACUUUUUUCUCCAUGCAGUAAGGCAGCCCAUGUCUUCAAUUCCCAACAGGUUCAGUAUACAGUUGAGUAGAAAAAGGCUCACCAACUAAUAACUUUGGUAAAAAAAGAAAUAAUAGUCGCUCCAUCCCACUGUCUUCCUUCAACUUUCUCACCACCCAUAAAAUAGACUGGCAACACAUUUUCUCCUUGCAUAGUUCCAAACUUUCCAUUUUCUCUCUGCAUACUUCCAAAAUUUACAUUUUCUCCCUGCAUACUUCCCAACUUUCCCUUUAUGAUAACAAUGUAUCUAAUAGCACGAUAUUUGUAAUAGCAGGAUAUACAAAUCACACACAUCAAAAUUUUUUCAAGACUGCAUGGCUAUAAGAAAUGCAUUUCGUGAGAUGUCCACAUUAAAAGGUUCAAGCACUUCGUCGACUAAGCAGUCAGACCAAUUACCAUCUUUUGGGCAUAGGGCAAAGACUUGCAUUUGAAAUCUCAAGAGCUAGGAGAUAUGCUCAAAAUAAGUGUAAAGACAUAAAUAUCACUGAAUAUGAGAAUAAUACUUACCAAAGGAGAAAUUUUUUUUUCUAUAUUGGGAGGAAAGCAGAGAUUGCUGAUUGAUGCUGUGGAAUAUACUAUGCAAAUUUUUUUUUUCUAUUUCAAGAAAAAAAUGUUAACACCAAAUGAAGUAAACGCUUAUACAUACAAACACCACUUAAAUACCCACACCUAGACAUCCAAUGUCCAAAAAACAUGUACGCACUCUGUUAAAACUUUAGAAAGGACAAAGCGUUCUCAUAUUUUGCAUUUCCAAAUCCUAGCAAUCUUCAGUUUUUAAUUUUCCCUGGAAACUGCUUCCUCUUUCUUUUCUUUUUUUUUCCAGUUUCGGAACAUAAAAAACACUUCCCAAUAUUCUAAUGAUCACCUCAAUGCAUGGUGCAUUUUGCAGCAUUUUUGGAAUGCUAUCAAAACUUUCUGAGAGCCUACUAAGGCUUGUCUUUCUUUUUUGAAUUUUCUUUUACCUGGUUCAGAGGAAUGCCUUGAAAAUCACCACUUGGAACUUGCUUUUUACAGAUCCCAAAUCUCAGCUUGAAAAAAGACCAAGACACAAGUAGAAGAGAAAUAAGAAAUACACACCUUUUCCAAGUUAUUUAUACCAUCAAAUUUGUGAAAGAGGCAGUUGUCCAGUAAGUCUAAGCGCUGUGCAAAUGGAAUAAACUCCUGCUUUAGGCGAUGUACUUCUUGCUGAAGUAGACAAUUGCGACCUACUUCCAACUUAGCCACUUCUUUGGCAUGCUUUACACGCUUCUUUUCAAACUUCAAUUGUUUCCUUAACAGCUUGAUUUCAGCAGUUUCAUCUUUCAAACUUUUACCAGAUGCAGGAUGAGAUGACUCAAACAAUUUACCAGAUGAAACAAGUUCCUGAAUCUCUCUUUGCACUUCCUCCAACCUUUUUCUAUUGCCCUCCAGUUCAUGAAACAAAUGAUCUGCAUGAUUUUUUUCCUCCAUGGCUUUCCUCUUGUAUCUUUUUGCAGCCUUCAUCUGGUUUUUUGCUUUCUCAAUCUCAGAUAUUGCCUGCUUCUUUUCUCUAACAUUUUUCUGCUGCCAUUCCCCAAGCUUGUUACAUGCCUCUAGUGCACCAGCUUCACUCUUCCAAGUCAAGGACCCUACUUUACCAGCAAGUUCUGCAAGUCCACCAGGUGGGUUUUCAACGGGAAUGUCAACAAACUUUCUGUUAGAUACAAGAUUAGAUAUCUGCUUCUCCAAUUCUUCAAGCCUAUGUUUAUUUUUGUCCAACUGCCAAGCCAAAGCAUCAGCACGACUUCUCUCAUCCAUAGCUUUCUUCCAAUUUUCCUCCGCAAGCUUACCUUGUUCUGCAGCUUUGGCCUUCUCCAUGUCUGCACGCAUUCUCUCCUUAGUUGUGUUUUCUUUUUCAGCUUUGAGCUUCUUGUUUUCCUGUUCAUGCUUUGCUGUCUCCAACGCCAACUUUGAUUUUGCUUCAUCCACUUCACAUUUUAAGCUCUCCAACUGAUGUCGAAGUUCCUCAACCUUUACCCUUUCAAUAUCAGCAAUCCUCUUUUCUUCGCUGGCCUUCUUUUUUUCUGCAUUUAAUUUUUCUGCUGCAUCUCUGGCUUUUUUCCUCUCCUUCUCAACUUUCUCUUUUUCUGUAUCUACUCUCUUUCUCUCCUUCUGUAAAAGCUCCUUAUGCUUAUUUAUCUCUGUUUCAGCUUCUGAAACACGUUGUUGCAAAUUUGCAACCUCCUCAUCCACUCCUUUAGCUGCCAAACCUCCAUUCUCCUGCAACAAAAGAAUCUGAGACUUCAGAGUAGAAAUCUCAUGCUCUAAAGUAACUCGUGUAGCAGAUUCUAACACUUUAUCUUGCUUUUCACUCUCUGCCCGUGCCCGCUCAUCCUCAAAUGCUGAAAUGGAAAAAUACUCAAACAUAAGCAGACACAAAAAAACAACGACCUGAUUCCCACACCAAAAAUACACUAUCACAAAACUAAAAAAAAAUCUUGCACUAUGACAUUAAAACACAUGAGUUACUCUCCCAAAAUUAAAAUCCGAUGAUAUUCAAUUAGCAUGAUUUGUAUGAAAAUUUCUUAAAGUACUUCAUUAGAUGCAUAAAUGAGCUGAAGUCAGGCCUAAAUUUAGUUUGUUCAAUUUUUAAUUGAAUUUUAUGAAAUUAUAUUUUAAUUUGGCUUAUUAUAAUCCAACCUUAGCCCAUUGAGCUUUUAUCAAGCGAAGGUCAAGUUUUUGCUUGAUCAAUUCACCUAUAAGUCUAUAACUUCAAGUUUUAUGCUUAUUUAACUAAUACUGAAUCCAGUUCGACCUUAAUUUGAUUACUUGACGAAGCCAUCUCACACAGCCUGAUGAUCAAGCCGAACUCAGAUAUAGCACUUUGGUUCGUCUUUCAACCCUAAAUGCAAAUAAAUACAAUUAUUGUGCCUUGACUAACCCUAUGCAUCAUGAUCAAAAAUUACAAUACCCAAAAAAAAAAAAGCAACCGCAAUUUUCUUGAACUUGCACCAGAAAAACAAAUCAUAGUAAUAUAAAUUAUAAAAAGAAUUAUCAACAAUUAUGAAAACAUUGUACCUUUCUUGAGAGCUUGAUAUUCAGAUUUUAGCUUGUCAUUUUCCUGCUCAAGAAGUUUGAUUCCUUUCCGAAGAGCAUUUCGUCCAUCUUCAACCUUGGAAUGCUUCUCUUUUAAUUUCGUAUACUUCUCUUUCCACUAUCAUCAUAUUCAGAAAAAAAAUAUCACAUCAAUGAUAGAAUAUUCAAGAAAAUUAUGCAAUAAUAUUUUUGAAAAAUCAGUGAAAUGAGGAGAGCUUUACCUGUUGACAGCAGGAGUUGCAAGACUCAUCCUUUACCGUAACAUCUUCCUCCAUUACUAACACCAUUACAAAGUGUUAAUCAAAGUUAAGAUCAUCAAAAGCACAUCAUUCCAAGGAAAAAAAUUAUGAUUCCAUAUUUGCGGCUGAAGAGCUCACAAACAUGGAGCUUCUUCAGCGAUGGUGGAAAGGAAGAGGGCGGCGGAAGCGGAGUAGCGGGAAGUGGGAAGUAGGAGAGGGCUCCUGGACGACGGCGUUUGGGGUUUCUUUAAUUCUUACCUUUGAGUAGGGAAGAAAUCGCUUGCUAAUAGAACCAACUGCAUACUCUCAGUCUCAGUUCGGUUUAUUGUUGUGAUAUUUGUGGCUUAUUUGUUGUGGUUUAUUCCUUUCCGGGUGCUUAGUCGGUUUAUCCGGUAAGUGGAGGAGUAAAGGACGACUCUGUAAUUCUUGCGAAGAACCGGACAAACGAAUCAAACCGACUCAAACUGAAGAUAAUUAAUAAUAGCGUCAAAUUUUCAAGGGAUAAUUUCAGAAACCUGCCCCGAGAUUUCUAAUAAUAUCAUUCAGCUCCCCUAUAAUUUUUAAAAUCUUACUUACCUCCCUUAAAUUGACAUUUCUUGUAACAUUUUAACCCCUUUGGAGGAAAUAUAAGAAAGAUAAAACUUUUGUUUCAAUACUACUCUUAUAUUAUCCAAUUUAAGAAAUUUAUAACGAUAAUAAAAAAAAUAAAAUAAGGUUAAAUUUUUAUAAGAUGUAAAUUUCUUGACGUAAAGUAUUUAUUUUGGUUUUAUUAGAACAAAAGCAAAAUUUACACCUUAACAAAUUUAGGCGUAUGAAGAGACUAUUUUAGUUUUCAAUAAAACUUAAAUUACGCCAUGAAUUAAAACAUAUUUUGCCAAAAAAUAUCUUGACUUCUUUAAUUGUAACUGUGCAUGAAAUUUUUUAAGGUGUUAAUUACUCUCUAAAAUCCUCCUAAGUGGUUGAUCUUGAUUAGAUUUAAUUUAUUCAUGUCAUUUACUAUUUCACCAUGACUCCAAUGUAAAGAGAUAUGGAUCAUUAUUAGCUAAUAAUUUGUUUUUUUAAUUUACAUUUUUUGCUUUUAAAAUUUUAUUUUGUUUUGUAUUUUUGGUUAAAUAGCUAUUAAGAGCAAGGGUAAUGUUGUCAAUUUGUGAUCUUUGAUAGAAAUAUUAAGUCUAGUCAAGUUAACAACGGAGGUAAGUGAAAUUUUAAAAAAUUAAGGGGAGCUGAGUGAUAUUAUGACAAACCUCAGGGGAAUUUUCUGAAAUUAUCCCAAUUUUCCACGCUCAAGUUGGGGAGCGGUUGAAAUGAGUCGGGCCUAAAUUUUCUGGUUUGGUUAUGCGUUUGAGAAGAUAGAACCGACAUAAACUAUAAAUUGUAGGUGGAAUAGGUAAUUUGGUUUUUACGUAACCAUAGAGAUGAUAAUCCCAUCACUCAAGUAUAAUAAAAAGAGAGGAUGAUUUACUGUAACCAUCCAGUUUUUCCUAAUGGUACAUGAGUAGGAAAAUACAAGUUUCAGGAGGCAAGCUCUCAAAUUUAUUCCUCAAAUAUCCACGGCCCGCUUCCUCAAACAUGAGUACAUAUAUCUAUAGAUAUUACUAGUUCCCUAAAACACUGGACACCGAAUUAAUCAAGGAAAAGAUAAUACAAUUGGACUCGGACACUUUAACCGACAUAAGCCCAAGGAGACUAAAUACGACUCGGACGUCACACCAAUUUUGGACGCUGAACUAAAUAAUUAAAUAAGACUUGGUUUAACUUUCUACAUUGCCACCCUUAAACCAAGGUCUUCAAAAUCUGCUAGUUUUCUUAGAAAGAAAAAUAGCAUAAGAAAGAAUAUUUGGAGAACGAAAUAGACCUUAAAAUCUGCUAUGUGCUUCGAAUGAUCGCGGCCGAAUACUAAGUUAUUACACAUCAAACUAUCUGCUCUUCUCAGCUGGCAUUGAGGUUGGUAGUGUUCCAAAGACCUUAUCCCAUAAUGAGGAAGUGAUACCAAAGCCUUUAUUUUGGAUACGAAAGUGAUGAUUCAAAUGAUAUUUCUGCAAAAGAGAGAUGAUCAGAAAGAUAUGCAGAUCAAACCACUUGUGCAGUGGAGAAAUUCCUACCUUCUUCCAGGUUCAGGUGACAAAACGGCCCCAACUGAAUCAAGAAUUCAUACGGGCAACGGAAAAUUUGAUUUGUUCAUGACAGAUCAUUCUAGAUAUGGGGCUAAUGCAAGUCUAUGCAAAUUGUUUCUACUAAAAUGAUAGCAUGUAUCUACGAUCCGAGUUUGUACAUAAUUUUUAGUAUGUAGAUUGUUUUUUACAC